rnacentral:siRNA from 1 species
CUUCUACGUUCGCGACCGUCCGAC